AAAGUACUCCCUCCAUCCCAAAAUUCUUGUCUUAGAUUUGUCUAGAUACAGAUGUAUCAAGUCACAUUUUAGUAUUAGAUACAUCCAUAUCUAGACAAAUCUAAGACAAGAAAUUUGGGACAGAGGGAGUAGUUG
rfam:Triticum aestivum genome assembly, contig: Triticum_aestivum_CS42_TGACv1_scaffold_112331_2AS